rnacentral:rRNA from 1 species
UUCUUUAAAAUUAAAGAAUUUGGCGGUAUUUUAGUCUGUUCAGAGGAACCUGUUUCUUAAUCGAUAGUCCACGAUGAUUUUUACCUUAGUUUUAAAUUUGCAUAUCGUCGUUAUUAAAAAUUUUAGGAAUUAAUUUUUUCAGAUCAAGGUGUAGUUUAUAUUGAGGAUUUAAUGGGUUACAUUAAAAAGCUUAAAUAAAUUGGAUUUGAUAGUAAGCUCUAAAAUAUGUACAUAUCGCCCGUCGCUUUCACUUUAAAGUGAAAUAAGUCGUAACAAAGUAGGCUUAUUGGAAAGUGAGCCUGGAAUGCAAAUUAGAGCUUGAUAAGCGUUUUAUUUACAUUAAAAGGUUAGUUGUUAAAUUCAACUUGAUUUGAAUUUAUAAUUUUAUUUAGUGUUUUUGUUUUUUGAGAUUGAGAGAAUAAUGUGAAAUUUUAUUAUUUUUAUGAAAAAAUGUUAUGAUAGUUUAUAGUAUUGUGAAAGAAAUAUUUUAUUUGUUUAAAAGAAGGUUUAAUUUGUUGUACCUUGUGUCUCAGGGUUUAUUAAUUUAUAAUUCCCGAUUCUAGAAGAGCUAGUUUUACUGUGAAAAUAUUAUUUAUAACUUUUUCCUUGAAAUGAAAUGUUAAUCGUUUCUAGAUAUAUCUGGUUUUCUAAGAAAUUAAUUUAAUUAAUUUGAUAAUAGGAAGUUUAUUGGGGGAUAAGCUCUUGGGUCUAUUAUUAUAAAUAAAUUUUACUUUAAAAUUUAUAGGAUUAGAAUUUUUCAUUUCUUAGAGGAUGUUAUAAUUAAUUAAGUUUUUUAUUGGAAUUUUUGGUUUAGUUUUUUUUCUGAAGUGAUAAUGAUAAAAUUAGUAAGGUUAAUCUAAGGAACUCGGCAAUUUUAAUUUUCACCUGUUUAUUAAAAACAUGUCCUUUUGAUGAUGAUUUAAGGUCUGGCCUGCCCAAUGAUUUAAUGGCCGCAGUAUUUUGACUGUGCAAAGGUAGCAUAAUCAUUAGUUUCUUAAUUAGAAGCUGGAAUGAAUGGUUUGAUGAGAAAUUAACUGUCUCUGGAACUUUAUUUUUAAGUGAAAAAGCUUAAAUUUUAUAUAAAGACGAGAAGACCCUAUAGAGUUUUUUUGUUGGGGUGAUGAAAAAAUUUAGUUAACUUUUUGUUUUAGUGAAUUGUUGAUCCUAGAUUACAAGAUAAAAUUACCUUAGGGAUAACAGCGUAAUUUUUUUGGAAAGUUCUUAUUG